CGCUGGAGCGUCAGACCCAUACCGGACCGUCUCGGCAAGAGCCCUGCUGGGGCAGCCAAGCGGAGACGAGUAGGAGGGCCGCCGCGGUGUGCGCCGAAGCCUGGGACGCGAGUCUGGGUGGAGCCGCCGCGGGCGCAGAUCUUGGUGGUAGUAGCAAAUAUUCA
rnacentral:rRNA from 1 species